CCCUACUCAUGACUGAUUACAAUGCAAAGAAAGACAAAGAACCUGGUGGAUUGAGUUUAAGCAUGUCUGCAUCCACACUGUAAAUCCUGCUGCAGAAUAACAACACAAGUGUGUUCCAUCUGCAGCCAGGAAGUCUCCUGAGGAUUACCAUUAUGUGACAUGUCUAAUCCAACAAUCAAGUCAAGGCAAGGGGGCCGGAUCCGGCCCUCCGGCUGCCUUGUUCAACAUGUACCCAAUUUAAAGUCCUCACUUUGUCGACAGCCAGACGUUUCCAGACUGCUUUCUUUGAUGUUGUUUUUAAACACCGGCAAGGGGAAAUUGGCAAGAAUCAUCGACGGCGGUGAGAAGUAAAAGCAGCUGUGGAGCUGUUAGAAACUAGAGGGUUUUCCUCAGGAAACGUCAGCGGGGAAAAGAGAAGCUAAAGGAUCACAGGUUGCUGGAGCCUAUCCCAGCUACAGAUGGGCAAAGGGGUUUAUUGGACAGUUUGACAACAUCAUCCAACCAUGAAUCCGUCCGUCCGUCCAUCCAGAUCUUCAUGUCACAUGAAAGCAGGAAGACUAAUGGCCAGAGAUUCUCAGCUGGAUCGUCCUCAGAACAGUUUGUUAAAACCUUUGUUCCAGUCUGUGCAUUCAGAGGCUACAUAGAGAGGAAGUCCGUCCCUUUCUAAAUCCUACCUGCUGAUUACCCGCCUGCCGCAUGUCUCCUUCAAAGUAACUCGGCAACAGCUUCCUCCACUUUGUUCUCUCCUUAAUGUCAUGGUUCUUCUAUUAGAGGAUCUGAACCCUGACAUGGAAGAAGGUCAGCCGCAUGGUUUCUGACCGGCGUAUGGAGCAUAAUCCAAAAGCAUUUUCUACUGGAGAAAAUGGCGUCAUUGUGCUGGAGGCCCUUUGUCGGGCUCCUCUUUGAGCAGCCAGGCAGAGGUCACCUUUACACCUUCUGUGGACUCGCCCUGAGCUGCACCACAUCCACCCAGACCACUUCCAAAUGUCACAUUUUAGCAGGAAGUACUUUUCCCUCAUGUGCUACCAAUUAAAAGCUGGCGCAUCCGGGAGUCCUCGGCUCCACCGCUGGUGAUGAACUCGUUUGAACAUCACUUGUUUUUGAUAAGCUGCAUUUUGCUGCUCCUGCAGAACCUGGCUCAGGGCGGUGUCGGUUAUUCUACCAGUGAUCCUCUUCCUUCCCCUGAGCCGAUCCGCAGGAUGUUUUGACGUUCCGUCAUCCUCGUCAGCGAUAAGACCGACCCGGUCAGCUUCGCCCCGCCCUGCCUUUUCUUCUGAGGAUAAGACAACACGCUCCGCUUGGAUCGGAUUGGUCCAGUGACAGCCACACCAGAGGAAAUGACACUUCUCCCAGCACGCUUUUUAUUUUUCAUCUUUUCUUCAGUUGUCGACGAGUGCAGACGGUGACUAAAGAGGAUCUUUGAGGCUUGGUUGGCUUGGAAACAUGAUAGAUGACAGAUAAACUUCAUGGUGAUACUUGAAGAAAAAACACAGCGUUCAACAGCUUUUCUUUGGCUCCAAUUUACAGUUUUUAUCGCAUUUAUUCAUUUAAAAAGUUCUGCUGCCCGUUCGUAGGUGUCAGAAGCGUAAUAAAUUGCUGCAACUCCA